UACAGAGGGUGCAAGCGUUAAUCGGAAUUACUGGGCGUAAAGCGUGCGUAGACGGUUACAUAAGUCGGGUGUGAAAGCCCCGGGCUCAACCUGGGAAUUGCAUUCGAGACUGCGUAGCUAGGGUGCGGAAGAGGGAAGCGGAAUUUCCGGUGUAGCGGUGAAAUGCGUAGAUAUCGGGAGGAACACCAGUGGCGAAGGCGACUUCCUGGCCUGUUCUUGACGCUGAGGCGCGAAAAGCUAGGGUAGCAAACGGG
rnacentral:rRNA from 1 species